UAGGGAAUCUUCGGCAAUGGACGGAAGUCUGACCGAGCAACGCCGCGUGAGUGAAGAAGGUUUUCGGAUCGUAAAGCUCUGUUGUAAGAGAAGAACGAGUGUGAGAGUGGAAAGUUCACACUGUGACGGUAUCUUACCAGAAAGGGACGGCUAACUACGUGCCAGCAGCCGCGGUAGUACGUAGGUCCCGAGCGUUGUCCGGAUUUAUUGGGCGUAAAGCGAGCGCAGGCGGUUAGAUAAGUCUGAAGUUAAAGGCUGUGGCUUAACCAUAGUACGCUUUGGAAACUGUUUAACUUGAGUGCAAGAGGGGAGAGUGGAAUUCCAUGUGUAGCGGUGAGAUGCGUAGAUAUAUGGAGGAACACCGGUGGCGAAAGCGGCUCUCUGGCUUGUAACUGACGCUGAGGCUCGAAAGCGUGGGGAGCAAACAGGAUUAGAUACCCUGGUAGUCCACGCCGUAAACGAUGAGUGCUAGGUGUUAGACCCUUUCCGGGGUUUAGUGCCGUAGCUAACGCAUUAAGCACUCCGCCUGGGGAGUACGACCGCAAGGUUG
rnacentral:rRNA from 1 species